AACACUUCGUACACAACUACUCCUAGGGAUAAAAGAAAGAAGAAAAUGUGAAGAUAUGACGUUCAACUGUGGCCUCACUGAAGUGAACCUUCUGCUUCACCCAGUUUCCCUCAGUUAGACAUGAACACGCUUCCUCCCACCUCGGAAUCUCCGUUGGUGACAUUCCAUCCAGCAGAAAUAAAUCACCCCCAUAAUGCAUCAACUACAUCAUUUCAAGUCUGUUUCUUUAAAGGGGAGCAAGAAUGUGGAGAAAAUUGCAAAGUGAUCUGAAUCAAGAA